UCGACUUUCGGAGAGUUUAGAUCGGUUUGCAAGAUCUGGAUGAACAAUUAUGGAACAAUAUAUCGAGACAGGAAAAAUCGCUUAAAACUUAGUUCGCUAGACUAUCCGCCUAGGUUUUACGUUUCCUAAAGUUCUAUGGCAGCCUCAAAGUAAUUUCCUACGAAAAUUCCAAGUCUGAUUUCAAAAAUUUCAAGUCGGAAAUACCUUAGUUCUCUCGAAGAUGCAGUUUUGUCCCUUCUCAGUUUUGCGUGCUCAUUUCCGUUUCCUAUUCUCGUGUAUGUUCGCCAUUUCCGGUAUUGGUGUUUAUCCUUUGAAACUUGACAUUUAUCUUCCGAACUUGACUGUUAUCUUCUCCUUAGAUAAGACGUCGAUUUUUGUAAAAUGGUUCAACGUAAUCGUAUAGUUAAGGCGGCUAAGGUGUUAAGUUAACCAUUGCCGUUUUAUACGAUUAAUCUGAAUCCAUGCGAGAAAAUAGGUCUUUGCGGUUUUUUCUUUUUUUUUUAUAUCGUAAAGUCUCAAUGGUAACUUCAAUCGAGGAUGGAGGUAGGGUGAGCAUAAACAAGUCAAGGAGUUUAAGAUGAGGUUUACUUGUUUUUGUCGUAAAAUCUCAACGGAAACUCCGAUUGAGACGAAACGAAAAGCGUUUCGAGGAGAAUUCAAAGGAGAACGCAAAGGAGGACCCCUUUGAGGCCUGACAGGUCGCUAUAGCGAGUGAGGAUGUCAUCUCGGUCGCUAUAGCGAGUGGAAGGGAGCCGAGACGAGUCCCACUUGUUUUCGUCGUAAAAUCUCAACGGAAACUCCGAUUGAGACGAAACGAAAAGCGUUUCGAAG
rnacentral:lncRNA from 1 species